AUGGCGUCAUCGUCGUGGGCCGUCCUGGGCAGCAUCCCGCGGGUCGCGCCCCCCGCGGACGGUGCCGACGUGUCCCUCGCGCUCACCCCGCCCCCGCGCGUCUCCGUCCUCACCGUCUCCCCGCGCGUCUUCCCGGAGCCCUUCACUCUCGAGUACUUCCCCUUCGUCCUCGCCGCCGACCCCUCCGGCCUCCUCCUCCUCCAAGCCACCCUCGGCCGCCCCUGGACCCGCGAGAUCACCCACGGUCCCCACGGUCCAGGUGUCCACUGGCACGACUCCGAACCGCGCUACUUCAUCCUCAACGCCAACGCCGGCUCCGCGUUCUGCCUCCCCGAACCCAAGCCCGUCGACAUCAUGCACCAGGCCCUCCUCGGCCUCAUCGCCUCCCCUGGCGGCGGCGGCCACUACAUGGUCUCGGAGCUGCGCCCCAUCAUGGGCACUGACGAAGCCACGCUCCUGUCCUUCUCGUCCGAGGUCGGGAAGUGGGUCGAGAAUAGCGUCCACUACCCGCUCCCGCGCUACAUCUUCGCGCCCAUCGGCGUGGUCUCGCACCACGGGAGGCUCUGGUGGGUCGGCCUCACAUGGGGCGUCAUCACCAGCGACCCCUUCGCCAGCGACCCGGCCCUCCGCUUUGUGCCGCUCCUGCCGGACAGGGUGUUGCGGUCCAGGGAAGCUUGGGGAGAGUCCGACAUGUACUGCUGCGUGGGGGUGAGCGCCGGCAAGCUGCGGUUCGUCGACACCUACUACAUGGACUGUGUCAUCGGCGGCACACCCAACAUGAGCGUGUGGACGCUGCCUGGUCCGGACUCCACGGAGUGGACGCUGGAGCACGAGGUAAGCUUUGGUGAGAUCUGGGCCGAUGGAAGCUACAAGGCCACUGGGCUGCCCGUGGAGAUCCCCACGCUCGCACUCAUCCAUCCCGAGAACCCCGACGUCGUCUACUUCUUCCUGGAGAAGCACAUGUUCGGUGUGGACGUGCGUGCGCGCAAGGUUGUGGACUGCAAGCUCUACGACCUGGUUGCGCCGCCGAGGUGCGCAGUCGCCAGCCGCUUCGUUCGAGCGUGGAGGCUUCCACAACAACAAUUACCAGGUUAA
rnacentral:rRNA from 1 species